AGAGUUUGAUCAUGGCUCAGAGCGAACGCUGGCGGCAGGCCUAACACAUGCAAGUCGAGCGCCGUAGCAAUACGGAGCGGCAGACGGGAGAGUAACACGUGGGAACGUGCCCUUCAGUUCGGAACAACCCAGGGAAACUUGGGCUAAUACCGGAUACGUCCGAAAGGAGAAAGAUUUAUCGCUGAAGGAUCGGCCCGCGUCUGAUUAGCUAGUUGGUGAGGUAACGGCUCACCAAGGCGACGAUCAGUAGCUGGCCUGAGAGGAUGAUCAGCCUCACUGGGACUGAGACACGGCCCAGACUCCUACGGGAGGCAGCAGUGGGGAAUAUUGGACAAUGGGCGCAAGCCUGAUCCAGCCAUGCCGCGUGGAUGAUGAAGGCCCUAGGGUUGUAAAGUCCUUUCGGCGGGGAAGAUAAUGACGGUACCCGCAGAAGAAGCCCCGGCUAACUUCGUGCCAGCAGCCGCGGUAAUACGAAGGGGGCUAGCGUUGCUCGGAAUCACUGGGCGUAAAGCGCACGUAGGCGGCUUUUUAAGUCAGGGGUGAAAUCCUGGAGCUCAACUCCAGAACUGCCUUUGAUACUGAGAAGCUUGAGUCCGGGAGAGGUGAGUGGAACUGCGAGUGUAGAGGUGAAAUUCGUAGAUAUUCGCAAGAACACCAGUGGCGAAGGCGGCUCACUGGCCCGGUACUGACGCUGAGGUGCGAAAGCGUGGGGAGCAAACAGGAUUAGAUACCCUAGUAGUCC
rnacentral:rRNA from 1 species